rnacentral:rRNA from 1 species
AUUAGUUAUAAUCUUUAAACCCAAAGAAUUGGCGGUAUCUCAUUCCAUUCAGAGGAACCUAUCCCUUAAUUGAUAAUACACGAUUAACUUUAUUUAAUUUAUUUGUUUGUAUAUCUCCGUUAUCAGAAAAUCUUUUUAGAGUUAUAAUUUUCUUGAUUUAUAAUUAUAAAGUAUUUCAGGUCAAGGUGCAGCUUAUAAUUGAAUGAGGAUGGGUUACAAUAUAUUUUUAUAUAUAAUGGAUUUGAUAAUGAAAUAUUAUUAAUGAAGGUGGAUUUGAUAGUAAUUUAAUUUAUUUAAUUUAAUUGAUAUUGGCUCUGAGGUGUGUACACAU